rnacentral:rRNA from 1 species
GACGAACGCUGGCGGCGUGCUUAACACAUGCAAGUCGAACGAUGAAGAAAAGAAUCGAAGCUUCGGCAGAAAUUCAUUUCGGAUUAGUGGCAGACGGGUGAGUAACGCGUGAGCAACCUACCUCUUACAAAGGGAUAGCCUCGGGAAACCGGGAUUAAUACCAUAUAACAUUGUGACGAAGCAUUUCAAUGCAAUCAAAGCUACGGCGGUAAGAGAUGGGCUCGCGUCCCAUUAACCGGAUGGUGAGGUAACGGCUCACCAUAGUGACGAUGGGUAACCGGCCUGAGAGGGUGAACGGUCACACUGGAACUGAGACACGGUCCAGACUCCUACGGGAGGCAGCAGUGGGGAAUAUUGCACAAUGGAGGGAACUCUGAUGCAGCGACGCCGCGUGAGUGAUGAAGGAAUUCGUUUCGUAAAACUCUGUUCUAUGGGAAGAAAAGGACUGUACCAUAGGAGAAAGCUCCGGCUAAAUACGUG